rnacentral:rRNA from 1 species
GACGAACGCUGGCGGCGUGCUUAACACAUGCCAGUCGAACGGAAAGGCCCUGCUUUUGUGGGGUGCUCGAGUGGCGAACGGGUGGGUAACACGUGAGUAACCUGCCCUUGACUUUGGGAUAACUUCAGGAAACUGGGGCUAAUACCGGAUAGGAGCUCCUGCUGCAUGGUGGGGGUUGGAAAGUUUCGGCGGUUGGGGAUGGACUCGCGGCUUAUCAGCUUGUUGGUGGGGUAGUGGCUUACCAAGGCUUUGACGGGUAGCCGGCCUGAGAGGGUGACCGGCCACAUUGGGACUGAGAUACGGCCCAGACUCCUACGGGAGGCAGCAGUGGGGAAUAUUGCACAAUGGGCGGAAGCCUGAUGCAGCAACGCCGCGUGCGGGAUGACGGCCUUCGGGUUGUAAACCGCUUUCGCCUGUGACGAAGCGUGAGUGACGGUAAUGGGUAAAGAAGCACCGGCUAACUACGUG